rnacentral:miRNA from 1 species
UCACCACCGGAAGUAGUGUCAGAG